rnacentral:lncRNA from 1 species
UCUUCUCAUCGACUCGUGGGUCAAUAUUUUAUUAGUCCCAGUUGUAGCCAAGGUGUCUCAAUAAGGUCGGUCGUCACCAAGCCACCUUUAAAUUUGGAGGUCCUGGUCGGGGCUAGGUGUCUCCAUGAGGUCAACACCAAGUCUCUAAAUUUAGAGGUUCUAGCCAGGGCUAGGGUAUCUCCACGAUUAUUCUCAUUUGUUUAGAGGUGCUAAUCGGAGCC